UACGUAGGGGGGCAAGCGUUGUCCGGAGUUACUGGGCGUAAAGCGCACGCAGGCGGUCGAUUAAGUUUGGAGUGACAGUUGGUGGCUUAACUGCCAAAGUGCUUUGAAAACUUGAUCGACUUGAGGGCUUCAGAGGGACACGGAAUUCCGGGUGGAGUGGUGAAAUGCGUAGAGAUCCGGAGGAACACCGAAGGCGAAGGCAGUGUCCUGGGGAGUACCUGACGCUCAGGUGCGAAAGCCAGGGGAGCGAACGGG
rnacentral:rRNA from 1 species